rnacentral:rRNA from 1 species
AUUGAACGCUGGCGGAAUGCUUUACACAUGCAAGUCGAACGGCAGCACGGACUUCGGUCUGGUGGCGAGUGGCGAACGGGUGAGUAAUAUAUCGGAACGUGCCCAGUCGUGGGGGAUAACGUAGUGAAAAUUACGCUAAUACCGCAUACGAUCUAAGGAUGAAAGCGGGGGAUCGCAAGACCUCGCGCGAUUGGAGCGGCCGAUAUCAGAUUAGGUAGUUGGUGAGGUAAAGGCUCACCAAGCCAACGAUCUGUAGCUGGUCUGAGAGGACGACCAGCCACACUGGAACUGAGACACGGUCCAGACUCCUACGGGAGGCAGCAGUGGGGAAUUUUGGACAAUGGACGCAAGUCUGAUCCAGCCAUUCCGCGUGCAGGACGAAGGCCUUCGGGUUGUAAACUGCUUUUGUACAGAACGAAAAGGUCUCUAUUAAUACUAGGGGCUCAUGACGGUACUGUAAGAAUAAGCACCGGCUAACUACGUG